AAACUUAUGAAAACGGAUUUCAAAGUGCAAGCUUUUAAAAACAAUACCGUUAUCAUCUUAAUGUAAACUACAAAAUCUCAAUUAGUGAAAACGGUGACAUCAUACACAUCUGUGUCAUGUGUUUCUUUAUAAAAUGACAUCGCAUACUACUGGCCUGACAUUGCAUUAUACAGCGUUUUAAGCUUUUUUCUCAUUAACAAGGAUCAUUUUGACAAAGUUUUAAGAAAAACUUUUCUGUUUUUAGCACAUCGCUGUGGUGUAAACGUACCCUAACAAUCCAAACCCGAAGUUCUGAAGCAACUCUUUUCCAUGCAAUGACACGAGGACAAGUAAAUAAUUACAAAAGUUUCAUUUUGGAGUGAAUUAUUCAUUAAGUGUGAUUGCAUUACAUCAGAAUAAUCAGUUUGAAGGACGCCAAGGGCAUCAACACUGCAGUCAUUCGUUUAGGUCAUCAUGCAGUCGCUGCUGUAAACCAUUAAUGGUUUCACUGAGCUCGAGUUGAGUUGAACUGAUAGAAUCGUUCAGCUUUAGUCACCAUGUAAACAUCUCGGUUAAUGAAUACCUCUUUCACAGGACUCGUGUAAACCGCCUUUAAUAACCCUACGGGCGUGCCACGUGUCUCUGGGCUGUUUUUAACCUCUAGGUGACCCGCUCUCUCCUCCAACCUCAGCUCUCCAUCGCUCAACACACGCUCUCUCUCGGACAGAAGCGCAGUGUCUCAUGCCAUCCUCCACAUGUGGCAGUAAGAAUUCAAGCCCUGGACACACAAAAAAUACAUUGCAGAGACGCCAAACUGGCAGAGGAUCAGCACGUUUGGCGUGAGAUCAGAGAAACGUACGUUUGCAAUGAAAACAAAGAAGUCAGUUCAGAGGAGCCAUCGAUCGGCCCGUCAGGAGAGGAGCUGCAGGGGGUGGACGCGACUGAUAACUGGGAUUUCCUUUGUCUGAAAAUCACUAAGCACUGGGGCAGUAACACAACUACAGCUGAACAGCAGAAGCAUGAGGUAAACACUGGGGUUGUGACAUACAUAUGUAUAUGAUCAGCAGAGCAAAGAGACGGAGAUAUUGUAUGGCAAACCCCUAAGGCUUCUGCUGUUGGAUUCAUAUAUACAAACUACUUCAAAGCUGUAGAUACAGUCAAUAUUCUGUAGUGGAUUUAUGUAUAAAUAAUACACAAAAACGUAC
rnacentral:lncRNA from 1 species